CAUCAUUUGGUUAGUAUCACUUGUCCUAUUUUUUUUCUUGAAUACUCCGUUUUUAUUAUUCUACAGAGAAGGGCACAACGCAAUUGGUCUCUAGACUUGCCCAAGUAACUUUCUCUCUCCAGCAGUUUCUGUCAGUUCUUGGGUUUGGAAAUUUCCUUCCUGCUCACCUCCACUGGCAGCGUGUUCACCUCACGUUAGGCCCUCUGGUUCAAUGCUCCAAAAGUGUGAUGAGCAUAAAGAGAAUUUUCCUCUCAGGAAAACAAUAAUGGCUGGAUCACUGAUACACUAUGGGUUCAUAAAGAAAGCCAACCAACCAAGUCACCAAACAAACAGCCAACCAAUCAACCAACAAGCAAGCAAGCAACAAACCAACCAAACAACCAAGCAAGGAAGCAAGCACCACCAACCAAGCAAGCAACCAACCAAGUAACCGAUCAAACCAACCCUUGGAGCCCUUUCUAAAGCUUUGACCUACAACUCUGAGUCCAGAAUCUCUGUUUAGUGGGCCAACAUUAAUAAAUUUAGCCUAAUCCA
rnacentral:lncRNA from 1 species